CGUUAUCCGGAAUCAUUGGGUUUAAAGGGUCCGUAGGCGGUUUAGUAAGUCAGUGGUGAAAGCCCAUCGCUCNACGNUGGAACGGCCAUUGAUACUGNUANACUUGAAUUAUUAGGAAGUAACUAGCAUAUGUAGUGUAGCGNUGAAAUGCUUAGAGAUUACAUGGAAUACCAAUUGCGAAGGCAGGUUACUANUAAUGGAUUGACGCUGAUGGACGAAAGCGUGGGUAGCGAACAGGAUUAGAUACCNUGGUAGUCCACGCC
rnacentral:rRNA from 1 species